UAACGCGUGGGUAACCUGCCUCAUACAGGGGGAUAACAGUUAGAAAUGGCUGCUAAUACCGCAUAAGCGCACAGUACCGCAUGGUACGGUGUGAAAAACUCCGGUGGUAUGAGAUGGACCCGCGUUGGAUUAGCUAGUUGGCAGGGUAACGGCCUACCAAGGCGACGAUCCAUAGCCGGCCUGAGAGGGUGGACGGCCACAUUGGGACUGAGACACGGCCCGGACUCCUACGGGAGGCAGCAGUGGGGAAUAUUGCACAAUGGGGGAAACCCUGAUGCAGCGACGCCGCGUGAGCGAAGAAGUAUUUCGGUAUGUAAAGCUCUAUCAGCAGGGAAGAAAAUGACGGUACCUGACUAAGAAGCCCCGGCUAACUACGUGCCAGCAGCCGCGGUAAUACGUAGGGGGCAAGCGUUAUCCGGAUUUACUGGGUGUAAAGGGAGCGUAGACGGAAUGGCAAGUCUGAUGUGAAAGGCCGGGGCUCAACCCCGGGACUGCAUUGGAAACUGUCAAUCUAGAGUACCGGAGGGGUAAGUGGAAUUCCUAGUGUAGCGGUGAAAUGCGUAGAUAUUAGGAGGAACACCAGUGGCGAAGGCGGCUUACUGGACGGUAACUGACGUUGAGGCUCGAAAGCGUGGGGAGCAAACAGGAUUAGAUACCCUGGUAGUCCACGCCGUAAACGAUGUAUACUAGGUGU
rnacentral:rRNA from 1 species